rnacentral:misc_RNA from 1 species
AGGCCAGUUUUUCUAUAGGCUGUUGGGAUGCUAAAUCAUUUUUAUCCAACUAACUCAGUUUCAUUUUUUGGAAUUUAGAUUGUGUGUGUACUUUAUUUGAACUCCUUCCUACAUCACCUUGUUAUUGUAAAAUAGUUCUGGUUGAGAAAGAAAUGAAUAGGGAAUGGUGAGGCCACAUGUAUGAUUCACUUGUAAGGUCCAAGUAAUUGCGCUUGUGUAGAUGAGCUGUAUUAAUACAGUGGCUAUACCUUUUUGUCGAUUUACCUAGUGCAGCCAAUUCUUCCCAGACCAGAAUUAUAUUCUUACAUAAAACGCAGUUUUUCAGUUUGCUUGGCUGUUUUUAAUGUUCCACUAACAUUACUCUCCCUUGUGAUAAUUAGAUGUUUUAUUUGCAAAAAUGAUAAAUGACAUAAAAAUUGGGUAGACUAAAAAAAAUUCAUGUGUUUGUAAAACUUCUACUUAUUUACUAUUAUGGAGUUCUGGACUUAUGGGGCAGAAACCUAGAAUUUUGCUUGUUUUGAAUGUGUGUUUUUUUUCUUUUUGUUUUGCCUGAGUCUGUAGUCAAGGGCUUUUAUUCUUUUAGACCUUUUGAUGCUACGGAACAACAGUAUUAUAGAUGCUUUCAGGUAAAAGACACCACCCCACCCUCCAAAAGAGCUUCUUGUGGGGUUUUCAUGUCAAAGAGGCUGGCUGUUGAACCCUUGACUCCCACCUAAAAUUACCCUCAGGUGUACUGACAAAACCUGUUCUAGUUGGUUUCAGACAAUAGACUUGUAGAGUUUGUUGGUAAAACAUAGAUUCUUGUGGGACAGAAUAAUGGAAUGUGGACCUCACUUUACCAGGACUACCGUUUUUACUUGCUGUUAAAUGCUGGUUUGCUGACCAUAUCUAUAAAAUAUUUUUUCAUAAGAAGGUAUACAUGGAGCUCAUAAUUGUUAGAUUUCACCAUCAAAUCUGUUUUGUAAUUUUUACUUUUAACUGCUUAAAUUUUGUUUCCUGAGUGUUGCUUUGUUUGAUAUAAUAGUGUUAAACUGUUAAUGGGGGUUGUAACUUUUGAUGUUGCAGUUAGCUCAUGCUCAUUGGAAAAAUUAUUUCCUGAAGACCAUAUGGUUGCUAAUUGCUAUAGUAGUUUACUCCUGGCAAUGGUUGCUUUCUUUUCCGUGUGUGCUUGUCCAUGUCAGUCACGCAAUUUGGCAAUGACAUUUUCAUAGUUAUUUCUUUGUAUCAGCUAUGUUCGGGCUGUGUAAAUGGUAUUUUAAACUCACUUUCUAGUUAUGGGUUGUGGUUUGAGAAUUUGAUUUUGGGCGAUGCUACGUAUCUAGAUGUUCAAAAUUCCUGAGCAAAAAAGUUUAUUGUGUAGUAAUUGUUUAUUCAGCAAUGGAAUUCACCGGCAGUUACUUAUUUCUUAGAUGUCAUGCUAAAUUGUAGAUUUCUUUGCAGGCUCGCCAUCAUGGCUUCCGAA